AUUCACUAGUGAUUGUAGUCAUAUGCUUGUCUCAAAGAUUAAGCCAUGCAUGUCUAAGUAUAAGCACUUUAUACUGUGAAACUGCGAAUGGCUCAUUAAAUCAGUUAUCGUUUAUUUGAUAGUACCUUACUACAUGGAUACCUGUGGUAAUUCUAGAGCUAAUACAUGCUGAAAACCUCGACUUCGGAAGGGGUGUAUUUAUUAGAUAAAAAACCAAUGCCCUUCGGGGCUCUUUGGUGAUUCAUGAUAACUUAACGGAUCGCAUGGCCUUGCGCCGGCGACGGUUCAUUCAAAUUUCUGCCCUAUCAACUUUCGAUGGUAGGAUAGUGGCCUACCAUGGUGGCAACGGGUAACGGGGAAUUAGGGUUCGAUUCCGGAGAGGGAGCCUGAGAAACGGCUACCACAUCCAAGGAAGGCAGCAGGCGCGCAAAUUACCCAAUCCCGAUACGGGGAGGUAGUGACAAUAAAUACUGAUACGGGGCUCUUUUGGGUCUCGUAAUUGGAAUGAGAGCAAUUUAAAUCCCUUAUCGAGGAACAAUUGGGGGGGGGAGUGUGGGGCUACAAUUAUUGCU
rnacentral:rRNA from 1 species